rnacentral:rRNA from 1 species
UACAGAGGUCUCAAGCGUUGUUCGGAUUCAUUGGGCGUAAAGGGUGCGUAGGCGGCGCGGUAAGUCGGGUGUGAAAUUUCGGGGCUUAACUUCGAAACUGCAUUCGAUACUGCCGUGCUAGAGGACUGGAGAGGAGACUGGAAUUUACGGUGUAGCGGUGAAAUGCGUAGAUAUCGUAAGGAAGACCAGUGGCGAAGGCGGGUCUCUGGACAGUUCCUGACGCUGAGGCACGAAGGCCAGGGGAGCAAACGGG